GCGGGUGUAGCUCAGUUGGUUAGAGCGCCGGCCUGUCACGCCGGAGGUCGCGAGUUCAAGUCUCGUCACUCGCG
rfam:Zymomonas mobilis subsp. mobilis ZM4, complete genome.